rnacentral:rRNA from 1 species
AUGACGUGGGAGUUCAAGCGGUGCGUGGAGUUCCACACCGAGACGUUCCGGCAGCAGGCCUACUACGAGGGCGCCAGGUACCUCGCCGAGCGCGACGACGGCGGCGCCGGCCUUCUCGUGGUGAGCACGGUGGCCAUCUUCACCGACGGCAACGCCCUGCGGACGCGCCGCUUCAAGGUGUUCGCCGUCGACGAGCGCGAGGACAGGUGGCGCGAGCUGCAGGACAUCGGCGACGACGUGGCGCUGCUGGUGGGGAUCAACCACGGGAGGCGCGUGUCGACCCGGGAGUACCAAUGCAUGGAGCCGGGCCGCAUCUACUACGUGCUCAAGUAG